UACGAAGGGGGCUAGCGUUGCUCGGAAUCACUGGGCGUAAAGGGUGCGUAGGCGGGUCUUUAAGUCAGGGGUGAAAUCCUGGAGCUCAACUCCAGAACUGCCUUUGAUACUGAGGAUCUUGAGUUCGGGAGAGGUGAGUGGAACUGCGAGUGUAGAGGUGAAAUUCGUAGAUAUUCGCAAGAACACCAGUGGCGAAGGCGGCUCACUGGCUCGAUUCUGACGCUGAGGUGCGAAAGCGUGGGGAGCAAACAGG
rnacentral:rRNA from 1 species